rnacentral:lncRNA from 1 species
CUUGGGUUACCUGCAGCCAGGCAAAUGGGGGAGCAAAUGAGAUUGCAAGCUGACUUUUUCUGAUUUUUUUUUUUUGUUAAUAUUUCCAAACAAAACAGGGCCCCCCAGCCUUCUUCCUUCAUGGGGACAAAAGGCUGAGGUAACCUGUAAGUUUUUGUGGAAAAUCUCUCAGAGACUGUGAAAUCAAGGCACCCCAGUCGCAAUGUCUUUCUGGUAAUGUAAUAUCGGCCCUAUCUUGAAAGAGCUGGUGGGAAUUUCAUAAUCCCAGUUCAAAGUGUCUGAACUGAUCCAGGGCUGUGCUGUAGCUUGCCUGAGCAGAGUCUGUGUGGAAUGAUAGCACAGAGACUCCACAGAAAUCCUCUAUGGAUCAUUACUUUGUCACACUCAUUAGAACUUGAGAGGAAACCUAUUGAGGAGACUUAACAUCAUCUCAGAACGCCAGGUGCUUUAGCAUUUCCAGUGUCGUAUGGGUCAAGUCAUAAUAGCAUCUCUAAUUGUCAGCCACAGAAAUAGUGAAAAAAUACUGAAAGGAGGAGGGAAAUCCCUGUAGAUAGAACUCAAGGUUAUCACUCCGUUUCUGAAAGAACUGAAAAAC